rnacentral:rRNA from 1 species
UUUAUGGAGAGUUUGAUCCUGGCUCAGGAUGAACGCUGGCGGCGUGCCUAAUACAUGCAAGUUGAGCGAACAGACGAGGAGCUUGCUCCUUUGACGUUAGCGGCGGACGGGUGAGUAACACGUGGGUAACCUACCUAUAAGACUGGGAUAACUUCGGGAAACCGGAGCUAAUACCGGAUAAUAUUUCGAACCGCAUGGUUCGAUAAUGAAAGAUGGCUUUGCUAUCACUUAUAGAUGGACCUGCGCCGUAUUAGCUAGUUGGUAAGGUAACGGCUUACCAAGGCAACGAUACGUAGCCGACCUGAGAGGGUGAUCGGCCACACUGGAACUGAGACACGGUCCAGACUCCUACGGGAGGCAGCAGUAGGGAAUCUUCCGCAAUGGGCGAAAGCCUGACGGAGCAACGCCGCGUGAGUGAUGAAGGUCUUCGGAUCGUAAAACUCUGUUAUUAGGGAAGAACAAACGUGUAAGUAACUGUGCACGUCUUGACGGUACCUAAUCAGAAAGCCACGGCUAACUACGUGCCAGCAGCCGCGGUAAUACGUAGGUGGCAAGCGUUAUCCGGAAUUAUUGGGCGUAAAGCGCGCGUAGGCGGUUUUUUAAGUCUGAUGUGAAAGCCCACGGCUCAACCGUGGAGGGUCAUUGGAAACUGGAAAACUUGAGUGCAGAAGAGGAAAGUGGAAUUCCAUGUGUAGCGGUGAAAUGCGCAGAGAUAUGGAGGAACACCAGUGGCGAAGGCGACUUUCUGGUCUGUAACUGACGCUGAUGUGCGAAAGCGUGGGGAUCAAACAGGAUUAGAUACCCUGGUAGUCCACGCCGUAAACGAUGAGUGCUAAGUGUUAGGGGGUUUCCGCCCCUUAGUGCUGCAGCUAACGCAUUAAGCACUCCGCCUGGGGAGUACGACCGCAAGGUUGAAACUCAAAGGAAUUGACGGGGACCCGCACAAGCGGUGGAGCAUGUGGUUUAAUUCGAAGCAACGCGAAGAACCUUACCAAAUCUUGACAUCCUUUGACCCUUCUAGAGAUAGAAGUUUCCCCUUCGGGGGACAAAGUGACAGGUGGUGCAUGGUUGUCGUCAGCUCGUGUCGUGAGAUGUUGGGUUAAGUCCCGCAACGAGCGCAACCCUUAAGCUUAGUUGCCAUCAUUAAGUUGGGCACUCUAAGUUGACUGCCGGUGACAAACCGGAGGAAGGUGGGGAUGACGUCAAAUCAUCAUGCCCCUUAUGAUUUGGGCUACACACGUGCUACAAUGGACAAUACAAAGGGCAGCGAAACCGCGAGGUCAAGCAAAUCCCAUAAAGUUGUUCUCAGUUCGGAUUGUAGUCUGCAACUCGACUACAUGAAGCUGGAAUCGCUAGUAAUCGUAGAUCAGCAUGCUACGGUGAAUACGUUCCCGGGUCUUGUACACACCGCCCGUCACACCACGAGAGUUUGUAACACCCGAAGCCGGUGGAGUAACCAUUUGGAGCUAGCCGUCGAAGGUGGGACAAAUGAUUGGGGUGAAGUCGUAACAAGGUAGCCGUAUCGGAAGGUGCGGCUGGAUCACCUCCUUUCU